rnacentral:tRNA from 2 species
GGGCUUGUAGUACAGUGGCAGUACGCCGCAUUCGCAUUGCGGAGACGCGAGUUCGAUUCUCGCUAAGUCCA